rnacentral:rRNA from 1 species
GUAGGUGACCUGCGGAAGGAUCAUUACAAGUGAGGCCACCGAACGUUGGAAACAGCGGUUAGGAGCUUACACCCACCCGUGUUUACAUACUAUUGUUGCUUUGGCGGGCCGUGGCCUCCACUGCGGGCUCUGCUCGUGUGUGCCCGCCAGAGAACCAAACUCUGAAUGUUAGUGAUGUCUGAGUACUAUCUAAUAGUUAAAACUUUCAACAACGGAUCUCUUGGUUCUGGCAUCGAUGAAGAACGCAGCGAAAUGCGAUAAGUAAUGUGAAUUGCAGAAUUCAGUGAAUCAUCGAAUCUUUGAACGCACAUUGCGCCCUGUGGUAUUCCGCAGGGCAUGCCUGUUCGAGCGUCAUUUAACCACUCACGCCUAGCGUGGUAUUGGGGCACGCGGUCUCCGCGGCCCUCAAAAUUAGUGGCGGCGCCGGUGGGCUCUAAGCGUAGUACAUACUCCCGCUAUAGAGUUCCCCCGGUGGCUCGCCAGAACCCCCAAUUUUUACAGGUUGACCUCGGAUCAGGUAGGGAUACCCGCUGAACUUAAGCAUAUCAAUAAGCGGAGGAAAAGAAACCAACAGGGAUUACCUCAGUAACGGCGAGUGAAGCGGUAACAGCUCAAAUUUGAAAGCUGCCAACAGGCCGCGUUGUAAUUUGUAGAAGCUGCUUUGGGUGUCGGCCCGGUCUAAGUUCCUUGGAACAGGACGUCAUAGAGGGUGAGAAUCCCGUAUGUGAUCGGUGCCGUUGCCCGUGUAAAGCGCUUUCGACGAGUCGAGUUGUUUGGGAAUGCAGCUCAAAAUGGGUGGUAAAUUUCAUCUAAAGCUAAAUAUUGGCCAGAGACCGAUAGCGCACAAGUAGAGUGAUCGAAAGAUGAAAAGCACUUUGGAAAGAGAGUUAAACAGUACGUGAAAUUGUUGAAAGGGAAGCGCUUGCAACCAGACUUGCGGGCGGUCGAUCAUCCGAGGUUCUCCCCGGUGCACUCGAUCGUUCUCAGGCCAGCAUCGGUUUCCGGGGUGGGAUAAAGGCGGUGGGAAUGUGGCUCUUCGGAGUGUUAUAGCCCACCGUGCAAUGCCGCCACUGGGGACCGAGGACCGCGCUCGGCUAG